GGGAGAGGUGGCUGAGUGGUUUAAAGCGGUAGAUUGCUAAUCUGUUGUACGUACUUUAUAACGUACCGAGGGUUCGAAUCCCUCUCUCUCCUA
rnacentral:tRNA from 1 species